rnacentral:rRNA from 1 species
AUUGAACGCUGGCGGCAUGCCUUACACAUGCAAGUCGAACGGCAGCACGGGUGCUUGCACCUGGUGGCGAGUGGCGAACGGGUGAGUAAUACAUCGGAACAUGUCCUGUAGUGGGGGAUAGCCCGGCGAAAGCCGGAUUAAUACCGCAUACGAUCUACGGAUGAAAGCGGGGGACCUUCGGGCCUUGCGCUAUAGGGUUGGCCGAUGGCUGAUUAGCUAGUUGGUGGGGUAAAGGCCUACCAAGGCGACGAUCAGUAGCUGGUCUGAGAGGAGGACCAGCCACACUGGGACUGAGACACAGCCCAGACUCCUACGGGAGGCAGCAGUGGGGAAUUUUGGACAAUGGGCGAAAGCCUGAUCCAGCAAUGCCGCGUGUGUGAAGAAGGCCUUCGGGUUGUAAAGCGCUUUUGUCCGGAAAGAAAUCCUUGGCCCUAAUACGGUCGGGGGAUGACGGUACCGGAAGAAUAAGCACCGGCUAACUACGUG